GAUGAACGCUGGCGGCGUGCCUAACACAUGCAAGUCGAGCGAUUUACUUCGGUAAAGAGCGGCGGACGGGAGAGUAACGCGUGGGUAACCUGCCCUGUACACACGGAUAACAUACCGAAAGGUAUGCUAAUACGAGGUAAUAUGCUUUUAUCGCAUGGUAGAAGUAUCAAAGCUUUUGCGGUACAGGAUGGACCCGCGGCUGAUUAGCUAGUUGGUGAGGUAACGGGUCACCAAGGCGACGAUCAGUAGCCGCGCUGAGAGGGUGAUCGGCCACAUUGGAACUGGGACACGGUCCAAACUCCUACGCGAGGCAGCAGUGGGGAAUAUUGCACAAUGGGCGAAAGCCUGAUGCAGCAACGCCGCGUGAGCGAUGAAGGCCGUCGGGUCGUAAAGCUCUGUCCUCAAGGAAGAUAAUGACGGUACUUGAGGAGGAAGCCCCGGCUAACUACGUG
rnacentral:rRNA from 1 species